rnacentral:rRNA from 1 species
AAUGCUGACAUAAGUAACGAUAAAGCGGGUGAAAAGCCCGCUCGCCGGAAGACCAAGGGUUCCUGUCCAACGUUAAUCGGGGCAGGGUGAGUCGACCCCUAAGGCGAGGCCGAAAGGCGUAGUCGAUGGGAAACGGGUUAAUAUUCCCGUACUUGGUGUUACUGCGAAGGGGGGACGGAGAAGGCUAUGUUGGCCGGGCGACGGUUGUCCCGGUUUAAGCGUGUAGGUGUGUGUUCCAGGUAAAUCCGGUUCACUUUAACACUGAGGCGUGACGACGAGGCACUACGGUGCUGAAGCAACAAAUGCCCUGCUUCCAGGAAAAGCCUCUAAGCAUCAGGUAACAUCAAAUCGUACCCCAAACCGACACAGGUGGUCAGGUAGAGAAUACCAAGGCGCUUGAGAGAACUCGGGUGAAGGAACUAGGCAAAAUGGUGCCGUAACUUCGGGAGAAGGCACGCUGACAUGUAGGUGAAGUGAUUUACUCA